UACAGAGGUCUCAAGCGUUGUUCGGAAUCACUGGGCGUAAAGGGUGCGUAGGCGGCGCGGAAAGUCAGGGGUGAAAUCCCGGAGCUCAACUCCGGAACUGCCUUUGAUACUCCCGCGCUAGAGAGCUGGAGGGGACAUCGGAAUUCACGGUGGAGCAGUGAAAUGCGUGGAUAUCGUGAGGAACACUAGUGGCGAAGGCGGAUGUCUGGACAGUAUCUGACGCUGAGGCACGAAGGCCAGGGGAGCGAACGGG
rnacentral:rRNA from 1 species